rnacentral:rRNA from 1 species
GGUUAAGUUAGAAAGGGCGCACGGUGGAUGCCUUGACACUAGGAGUCGAUGAAGGACGGGACUAACGCCGAUAUGCUUCGGGGAGCUGUAAGUAAGCUUUGA